UUAUCUUCGCGGCGUUAUGGUUCUCGUUUUAGAACGAGAUUAAAAGGGAAUGAAGUGUAACUCUUCAACUGUCCCGCAGCUGUAAGCUCUUUAAAACUGUUUCUAAAUUUUGCCACUUGUCUGGUUCUACAGAUGGGGAAGGCUAGAAACGGGGAGUAAGUCAGAAGACCUGCCUAACUGUUAAAAAUUCA
rnacentral:ncRNA from 1 species